rnacentral:lncRNA from 1 species
GGGUCUUCUUGUAAACCAUUUGUAUUUAUAAAUAUGGAGUGCUUGAAUAAACAGUAAAUGUGUCAGAGCCAAUAGGUAAAGCACGCGAUACAGGAGUCUGCCUUUUCCUAGCAUCAGGCACUGCGCACAUUCUUUUAAAAAGCCGCAUUGCAUCCUGGGUAUCCUGGAAGUCCACGCUGAAUCCACGCCCUUCCUGAGAUUUUCCUGCUCAGGUCAGCAUAUUACUUGUUUUGCCCAUGGUAGUUCAAUUCUAGUUUCUGUUAGCGCAACCCAAGGAGUUCUUACUUCAGCCGUGCCCACCCCACCCCCAUAAACAGUCAUCUCCCCUAACGAGAGUGGAAGAAAGUGUCUUUGGAGCUGGGAUUUGAGAUAAACUUCUCAGGUCCCCAGGGGCUCCAGAGUUAUACUUCGUAGAAAGUUAGUAUAACUUACUUUCUUAUAAGUAAGUUAUAUUUACAUAGAAAGUAAGUAUAAAGUAUAUAUACUUUCUACUUAUGUAGAAAAUCUCAUCUUCCAGUGGCUUUUUGCUAACACUGCCUGGGGAGUAUUGAGGGGGUGAAGGAGAGUUGUGUACAUAAACACACACACUCACACCUGUCCAGCUUUUUUGCCAACACAAUAAUAUUUACUGAAGGUCUAUUAUAUUUCAGGCACUAUCACAAACAUCUGUUCUGCAUUAAUCUAAGAAACCAGAUUUUCAGACUGUUCCUAAUUAUAGAUGAGAUAAUACAUUUCAUGUAAAAGAUGUUAAAUAUUAGUCUUUAUGAAUUAGGAAAGUUAUGAGCAAAGGCUCAUUCUAUGCACCUUUCUAUACCUUCUCCAGGUUUAAGCAUCAUGUGGGUGUCUCUUUUGCUUUCAUAAUAAAAGGUUAGCCCAAGAAACUUGAAGCAAGAUUUCAAGAAAUGCUAUUUCAAUAUUACUAUUUGAAUGACUUGUUUCUAAAGACAUUUUUAAAAAGGCAAUGAAAAAUGAACAAAAAGUCCAAAUUAAACUAUAACUAAAUAGCGUGACUUGCCUUGAAAUUCUAGCUUUAUUCAUGUAAGUCUGUAUCCUCCAGCGAAGCGGACUGAAACAAGUCAGCCCAA